rnacentral:rRNA from 1 species
UGGCGAACGGGUGAGUAACACGUGAGUAGCCUGCCCUUGACUUUGGGAUAACUUCAGGAAACUGGGGCUAAUACCGGAUAGGAGCUCCUGCUGCAUGGUGGGGGUUGGAAAGUUUCGGCGGUUGGGGAUGGACUCGCGGCUUAUCAGCUUGUUGGUGGGGUAGUGGCUUACCAAGGCUUUGACGGGUAGCCGGCCUGAGAGGGUGACCGGCCACAUUGGGACUGAGAUACGGCCCAG